UACGGAGGGUGCAAGCGUUAUCCGGAUUCACUGGGUUUAAAGGGUGCGUAGGUGGGCAGGUAAGUCAGUGGUGAAAUCUCCGGGCUUAACCCGGAAACUGCCAUUGAUACUAUUUGUCUUGAAUACUGUGGAGGUCAGCGGAAUAUGUCAUGUAGCGGUGAAAUGCAUAGAUAUGACAUAGAACACCAAUUGCGAAGGCAGCUGGCUACACAAAUAUUGACGCUGAUGCACGAAAGCGUGGGGAUCAAACAGG
rnacentral:rRNA from 1 species